GUGAGGUAACGGCUCACCAAGGCAUCGACGGGUAGCUGGUCUGAGAGGAUGAUCAGCCACACUGGGACUGAGACACGGCCCAGACUCCUACGGGAGGCAGCAGUGGGGAAUAUUGCACAAUGGGCGCAAGCCUGAUGCAGCGAUGCCGCGUGCGGGAUGAAGGCCCUAGGGUUGUAAACCGCUUUCAGUAGGGAAGAAAAUGACGGUACCUACAGAAGAAGGUGCGGCCAACUACGUGCCAGCAGCCGCGGUGACACGUAGGCACCAAGCGUUGUCCGGAUUUAUUGGGCGUAAAGAGCUCGUAGGCGGUUCAGUUAGUCGGGUGUGAAAACUCUGGGCUCAACCCAGAGACGCCACCCGAUACUGCUGUGACUUGAGUACGGUAGGGGAGUGGGGAAUUCCUGGUGUAGCGGUGAAAUGCGCAGAUAUCAGGAGGAACACCAGUGGCGAAGGCGCCACUCUGGGCCGUAACUGACGCUGAGGAGCGAAAGCAUGGGUAGCAAACAGGAUUAGAUACCCUGGUAGUCCAUGCCGUAAACGUUGGGCACUAGGUGUGGGUCUCAACCAACGAGAUCCGCGCCGUCGCUAACGCAUUAAGUG
rnacentral:rRNA from 1 species